ensembl:lncRNA
AUGUCCACUUGGAGAUUGUCUUGUUUGGAUUGUCCAGUGAGCCCUGAUCCUCAGAAAGCAGACUGAUGAAUGCUUCAGCCAAUUCUGGAUGGAUUGGCAGGAAGUAGACUUAACUGCCUGUUCUGUGGUGCAGUUGUGCCCUAUUUGUUAACUGGGUUCUGAACAAAGCCAAACUGUAAUUUUCAGAUACAGAAUGUCCCUCUGACUUCACUUGGACUGAUGCCUUUCUCUUUGGCUACAAUGAAACUGUCCUCAGUGGCGAAAAUGUGAUGUGUUGCCCCAGUGGUAGAUAAGUAUCUGGUUCUUAUGCAGCUUUUUCUUCCUCCCUGCUGUUCGUGAGCUUAAAGAAAUACAUUUUUACUCUAGCACUGUUAAUUCCUUCUGCUUUUUAAUACCUACAAUCCUUCUUAGGAAUGGUCCUGCCUCUUGGCAGCCUGACAUGUUGGUACUCCCAUGUUGGGACUCAGUUUUCAUCCCCUUGUGCUCUUCAGAUCUCAGUGUUUGUAUUUUUUUCUUCAUAUCUUGAGAGGAGGGUUGCAAAUAAAUGUCACCCUUUUGUAUUGCCCUUGCAUGUUUGGCAAGCAAGUGUUGUUGCACUAGGUCUCCUGAUGUCUUUCCUGUAGUAUUUUACUGAAAGUAGUCAUUCUACCUAGUGGCCCACCAGCUGAAGGCUGUGGGAAAGCAGCUUGUUGGGUCUUCUGUGGAAGGCUGGUAUAGGAGAACAAUGUUGAGGAAAAUUCCUUCUAAAUUCCAACCAAGUGUUAACUGUCCCUUAUUGAUUUGGUGCUGUUGGUGCUUCCUUUCCCUGCUGUGUUCUCUUGCUACUCGUCCUCUGAGAGGUGGAAUUUAUCACCUCACAGGCAGAUGGGGCAUUUGGCAGGAGUGGGAUCCAGAUGUAAGGCUUUGGAAAGUUCCCAAUAGCAGCAUCUGGACUCAGCUCUGGCUUAUUGCCUGAAUUCUUUGUGAACUCUGAACAGCUGGCCAUGGAGCUGCCUCUGGGGUUAUCUCGGGGGUGGUUGCUGCAGAUCUGGCUGUGAAAUCAUAUUCUCCUGACAUACCUUUCCACUCAGAAGAAAUGUACCCAUACGUUUGCAUGCAGGAAUCUUUUGUAGCUUGAACUUCAAAUGUACUGUAUAAAAUACAAGUGUGUAUCUUUUUGUACCCACAAGACAACUGAAGUGGGAACUGUGUGAGGAAUAAGCUUGUGCAUGUACAUAUUUGUGUCAGUGUACUUCUGUGCGUAUGAAUAUAGUUAAUUGUUAGCAGACCCUGUACUGCUCUGACUCCAAGUCAGUGGAUAUAUGCCAGCAGAAUAUUUGGCGAAACAUCUCCCAUUUUAUGUAGCAGCAGAACACUGUAGGCUUGGGGCAUGUUGCCUUCUGCCCAUUUUGCUUAGAACAUAGCCUUGCGCAGCUGAAUCAUGUUGCUUCAUUGUGUGAAACUUACUCCUGUGCACAGGCCUGGCUGGUAAAGACUAAUUUUUUAGGCUUAGAUGGCUCCUAAUCCAAUGUCAACUCCUCUUUGUGAUGGAGAUUGCCAGUAGCUUCAUCAGUGCAGUCAAAAGAAAACAAAUGUAUAUUGAGUCAGCCUCUUAUAAUGUUCACUACAGCUGCCUAUGUCAUGAAAGGAGAAUAGUAUCAGUCUUCUAUUUAUGAUGUCAUUGAUUAUAAUAACAUUUGAAUACUGGAUGGGAAUAUGUGUAUAUAUAUGAUACAUAGGUAUUUCCAUGUCUGUAUGUACUUAUUUCUUGUAUGCUUUUAUUAUGUUUAGACCUCUGGAUUCCAGCACUUUAGGGUACAGAAAACCAUCUUGAUUGAUGUAUGUUUUGCAUCUUUUAGAUUGCCAUAAAACCUGAUUU